AAAAACACAGGACGCUGCUAACUCGUAAGAGGAUGUAUAGCGUCUGACGCCUGCCCGGUGCCGGUAGGUUAAGGAAGAGGGUUAGCCUUCGGGUGAAGCUCGCAACCGAAGCCCCGGUAAACGGCGGCCGUAACUAUGACGGUCCUAAGGUAGCGAAGUUCCUUGUCGGGUAAGUUCCGACCUGCAUGAAAGGCGUAACGACAGAAGCACUGUCUCAACCAGUGACCCGGUGAAAUUGUAGUCGUGGUGAAGAUGCCACGUUCCCGCAGCGUGACGGAAAGACCCCGUGAACCUUUACUGCAGGCUGAUAUUGGGCUGUGGUAUGUCUUGUGUAGGAUAGGUGGGAGGCAUUGAAGCCGGGACGCCAGUCUCGGUGGAGCCAACCUUGAAAUACCACCCUUGGCUUACUUUAGUUCUAACGCUGAUUCCCGUGAAUCCGGGCAGCGGACAUUUUCAGUUGGGCAGUUUGGCUGGGGCGGUCUCCUCCAAAAAUGUAACGGAGGAGUGCAAUGGUACCCUCGGCCUGGUUGGCAAUCAGGCGUCGAGCGUAAGGGUAGAGAGGGUGCUUGACUGCGAGAGGUAUAUCUCGAGCAGGUACGAAAGUAGGUCCUAGUGAUCCGGUGAUUCCGUAUGGAAGGGUCAUCGCUCAUCAGAUAAAAGGUACUCCGGGGAUAACAGGCUUAUCGCUCCCGAGCGUCCAUAGCGGCGGAGCGGUUUGGCACCUCGAUGUCGGCUCAUCACAUCCUGGGGGUGGAGAAGCUCCCAAGGGUUUGGCUGUUCGCCAAUGAAAGUGGUACGUGAGCUGGGUUCAGACCGUCGUGAGACAGGUCGGUCCCUAUCUACUGUGGGCGCACGAAACUUGCGGAGGUUCUUCUUUAGUACGAGAGGAUUUAGAAGGACGUACCUCUGGUGUGCCAGUUGUCGCGCUAGCGGCAUGGCUGGGUAGCUAUGUACGGAAAGGAUAAACGCUGAAAGCAUCUAAGCGUGAAGCCCUCUCCAAGAUUAGGUUUCGUUGCGGUAUAUCCGCGAAAGCCCCCUGGAAGACUACCAGGUCGAUAGGUCGGAUGUGUAAGCGCAGCAAUGCGCUCAGCUAACCGAUACUAACGGGCGAACACUUGGCC
rnacentral:rRNA from 1 species